CCUACGGGUGGCUGCAGUGAGGAAUAUUGGUCAAUGGGCGCGAGCCUGAACCAGCCAAGUAGCGUGAAUGAUGACUGCCCUACGGGUUGUAAACUUCUUUUAUAAAGGAAUAAAGUGAGGCACGUGUGCCUUUUUGUAUGUACUUUAUGAAUAAGGAUCGGCUAACUCCGUGCCAGCAGCCGCGGUAAUACGGUGGAUCCGAGCGUUAUCUGGAUUUAUUGGGUUUAAAGGGAGCGUAGAUGGGUGGUUAAGUCAGUUGUGAAAGUUUGCGGCUCAACCGGAAAAUUGCAAUUGAUACUGGCAGGCUUGAGUACAGUUGAGGGAGGCAGAAUUCGUGGUGUAGCGGUGAAAUGCUUAGAUAUCACGAAGAACACCGAUGGCGAAGGCAGCUUACUAAACUGCCACUGACAUUGAUGCUCGAAAGUGUGGGGAGCAAACAGGAUUAGAUACCCCUGUAGUC
rnacentral:rRNA from 1 species